GGUGAACGCUGGCGGCGUGCCUAAUACAUGCAAGUCGAGCGAAUGGAUUAAGAGCUUGCUCUUAUGAAGUUAGCGGCGGACGGGUGAGUAACACGUGGGUAACCUGCCCAUAAGACUGGGAUAACUCCGGGAAACCGGGGCUAAUACCGGAUAACAUUUUGAACCGCAUGGUUCGAAAUUGAAAGGCGGCUUCGGCUGUCACUUAUGGAUGGACCCGCGUCGCAUUAGCUCGUUGGUGAGGUAACGGCUCACCAAGGCAACGAUGCGUAGCCGACCUUAGAGGGUGAUCGGCCACACUGGGACUGAAACACGGCCCAGACUCCUACGGGAGGCAGCAGUAGGGAAUCUUCCGCAAUGGACGAAAGUCUGACGGAGCAACGCCGCGUGAGUGAUGAAGGCUUUCGGGUCGUAAAACUCUGUUGUUAGGGAAGAACAAGUGCUAGUUGAAUAAGCUGGCACCUUGACGGUACCUAACCAGAAAGCCACGGCUAACUACGUGCCAGCCGCCGCAGUAA
rnacentral:rRNA from 1 species